rnacentral:rRNA from 1 species
AUUGAACGCUGGCGGAAUGCUUUACACAUGCAAGUCGAACGGCAGCACGGACUUCGGUCUGGUGGCGAGUGGCGAACGGGUGAGUAAUACAUCGGAACGUGCCCAGUCGUGGGGGAUAACGUAGCGAAAGCUACACUAAUACCGCAUACGAUCUAAGGAUGAAAGCGGGGGAUCGCAAGACCUCGCGCGAUUGGAGCGGCCGAUGGCAGAUUAGGUAGUUGGUGGGGUAAAGGCCUACCAAGCCGACGAUCUGUAGCUGGUCUGAGAGGACGACCAGCCACACUGGGACUGAGACACGGCCCAGACUCCUACGGGAGGCAGCAGUGGGGAAUUUUGGACAAUGGGCGCAAGCCUGACCCAGCCAUUCCGCGUGCAGGAUGAAGGCCCUCGGGUUGUAAACUGCUUUUGUACGGAGCGAAAAGGCUCUCUCUAAUACAGGGAGUUGAUGACGGUACCGUAAGAAUAAGCACCGGCUAACUACGUGCCAGCAGCCGCAGUAA